rnacentral:rRNA from 1 species
UACGUAGGGGGCAAGCGUUGUCCGGAAUCAUUGGGCGUAAAGCGCGCGUAGGCGGCCCGGUAAGUCCGCUCUGAAAGUCCAGGGCUCAACCCUGGAAAGCGGGUGGAUACUGCCGGGCUAGAGUCCGGAAGAGGAGAAUGGAAUUCCCGGUGUAGCGGUGAAAUGCGCAGAUAUCGGGAAGAACACCCGUGGCGAAGGCGGUUCUCUGGGACGGUACUGACGCUGAGACGCGAAAGCGUGGGGAGCGAACAGG